rnacentral:piRNA from 1 species
UUUCCGCAGAGGUCUUUAAAACAGGGUGAGU